ACGGUUGCUGUGGAGGUUCGCUACAUAGGUACAUGGGUGCUGUGAUGGUUCCUUACAUAGGUACGCACGUGCCGUGGUGAUUUGUUACAUAGCUAGGCGGGUGCCGUGGUGCUUCAUUACAUAGUUACACGGGUGCCGUGGAGGUUCACUACAUAGGUCAGCAAUGGUGCUAUGAGAAGCUCAUACAUCAAAGAAAAGACAUGUGUAAGCACUUGGAUCAUAGCCCCAGAUGACACUCAGUCGAUAGAAAACAUUGACUGGCAUCCAUGUUGGUGAAACAACUUAGACAUGCAGCCUUUCCCAGAUGAGAUGGGUCCAACCACUUCUGAAUGCAAACGCACGAGCAACCUUAAGCAAGGACUGCCUAGCUCAUUCCCAUCUACCCACUCAACUAGGAGAGAUGACAAAUCAUCGUCUUAAGUCACCAAGUUUUGGCAUCAUUUGUUGAACAACAAUAAACCAGAACACCCACUGAAAAGGCCAUCUG
rnacentral:lncRNA from 10 species